UGCAUGUCUCAGGCGCGCGCCUCUCCUCAUGCUACUCCGCUGCCCCGUAUCUGCUCUCCGUCUCUCUUUCGUUGUCUGGUUGGUGCACCCUGCUUGGGUGGGGGUGAUCUUGUGCGUGUGCGUGUGCGUGUGCGUGUGCGUGUGCGUGUGCGUGUGCGUGUGCGUGUGCGUGUGCGUGUGUGCUUUGCUUUUUGGAGGGAGGGGGCGGACGCCUCUUGUCGAACUCGCGCUUGAUGUUCUCCCCUGUGCCUCAGCAUCUCCGCCGUCUCGCUUGAUUUUUUUUUUUGUCGGAGGUGGGGGGGCUGGUGCUGUGGACCCGUCUGCGAGACUGCAUGUCUUGCUGCGCAAGGGCACACCCCAUCCCACCCCACCCAACACCUUUUCCUGUGGCGCCAGCCGGGCUGAGCUCCGCUGCCGAGUCUGCCCGUUUUCUCGUCGCGGGGCGGGGCACGGGAGGCGCAAAAAGAGAACGGUAGCAGUGCCGCGAGCAUCGCCCUCUUUACCCCGCUCGGCCCCAACUCUCGAGUCUGCCAGAUGGAGCUGCAGACGCAGCCGCGCUUCUGUCCGCCGCGACCGCGCCCCUACGCGGCCUCUUUGGUGUGGAUGUGUCUGGCAUGCGGUCAGCUUGCCCCGUAUGAGGCAGCCCCCCACUAUUCGAUGGAAAGCAUCGACGGCUUGGAUAACUCUCUCCAAGGAACCUCAUCUGCUAUGAACGCCAUGCCAGGUGGAUUCGACGUCACCACGGCGCUCAGCGACUGCGAAGCAGCCGCCCACGCUUACAAGAGCUCCCCUCCGAAUACGGCACAGCAUCUUUUCGGCCAUUCGCAGUGCGGUGGCGUCACUGGAUCUACCGCAGCCGCUGCAGCCACCUCGGCGUCCUCACCGACGGCAUCAAGGUCGCCGCGGCAGGAGCAACGACACUCUUGCGUGAACAACGCAUCAGACUCGUACCUGUCUCAGGCUGCCUCGUUCAGUCAUAGACAGCGUGAGCAGCAACAGCAGCAGCGGCGGCGUCCCUCGAGCGUGAGUUGGCGUGUAACGGGGGCCACCGCUGAGAUGAUUCAUCCCGAUAGUGUCGGUAGCGCUAGCGAAAGGCGAAAGCGGCGCGAAGGCGAGCUAGUCUCUGCCGGGAUCUCCAGCCUAUGCGCUGACGAAAAGACCCUCGGAGACGGCGAGAUCUUGGUCUGUGACGGCAUCUCGUCAAGUCACUGCCGACGCGCACCCACAACGGUCUCCACGACCCUGGGGAGUACCAGCAAUGAAAGCAGCACCCUCGCCGUCACUCCAUGUAAGCCCGCUGUCGCUGCUCUCCCUCAGCUGUCGGCAGCCUCUUCGUCCCUCUGGAGAGACGCGGGCGUCCGUGGCGUACAAAACCUGUCGAGCUCCGGGGCACGCUCCCGGCAGCAGGAAGACGAUGCAGCGUGCUCCCUGGCUGUGCUGCUCAUGGAGGAGCACCUGAUGGGCAGUCGUGAGAUGCGUUUCUGCCGUUGCUGCGGUGAGGUACGGUGCGCCGAGAUCCGAAAGGUUACCGAGCGGCUGCCCUCGCCGCUGUCCGCACGAGUGGCAGAUAAAGUCUCGUACACGGACGAGGAGGGAGACGAAGUGGAGGCGGCGGCUGCCCAAGCAACGGUGGAGUCGGAGCACGAGCACUGGAAGGCGAUAUUGAGCCACAGCUGCCGCAGCACUGCCAUUCGCCGGGAUGGAGGCGCGGCAGCCGUGUACGGCCCCUUCACCUCGCAUGCUCUCUACAGCGGCAACGAGUCGCAGCCGCUAGGUGUUUUGGCCCCCGCUGCCGAAAAUGGCUGCAAGCCACCCGAGACAGCGCAGGCGGAAACUCGCAAGGAGAUCCCCUCUGUCCACCUCGCUGUCGCCCUCUUCCUCGCGCGACUCCUGUCAAAAGUGAAGGUCAUGGCGGUGACGGCACUUGGCAACUUCCAUCCGCUCUCGCCGGCGCUGCCCAAGACGUACUUCAGCAGUCAUGGCAGUGAACACGGUGACAAGGCGGCAAUACGCGGUUACGGAAACGGCGUCCUCGCCAGUGACUCAGCGCCGCGGUCGGCAAGCUCGAUCUCGCGCCUUCCACGGAGGGCCCAGGAAGGGUGUCGCCCGAGCUACCCUCUGUACAACCCCAGCGAGGGGAUGAGGACGAGCAGUGACCACUGGAAGUCCCUCUCCGCCUCCACGGCGACGAGCAGGACGUCACCACCGGCGUGCGCCUCGGCGGAGGAGUGCACGCUGCCGUGCUUGGCAUCGCUGCUCGGCGUCACCGGCGGCGGUGCAUCGGAGGACUUGUACGGCAUCUCGCUGGACUCUAGUGCGCAGCCGAGCUGGGUCUUCACAGCACCGGACGAGGAGGAGACGUACAGGGCUGAAGACGACGAGGGCCUCGUUAUCCAGCACCAGCGGGGAGGCGUGCAGAGCGAUGAGGACGCCAGCGCAGUCGGCGCCGAAGAUGCGCAUACGUGCGCACGAAUGCUUUACGAUGACUCUACCGCCGCAUCUAACAUCAUGGGCACCACGGCGGCCGCGGCGACGACGAUGCGCGCGUGCAAAGACAAGUGGAGCUCGAUUAGCGUUUCAGAGGCGCUGUGGCGUCUGGUGCUGCCGUCCUUCAGCGCCCCCUUUCUGUCAACGACGUCAAUGCCGUCGACAGCCGCCGCCGCGGCAAGAGCUACCUCUGUUCACCGCGCAUUUUCGGCCGGCGGCAGCAGACCACUUGAGUCGCUGAUGGGCUGGAUCGCGUCUGCACCGCGUCGCGGGGCUGUGGAGUCGACGGCGAGCAGCGCUGUGGUUACCGGCACGCGUCCCUACCGGGGCUUUCGCGGAGAUGUCGAGGAGGCGGUCCGUCAGCUGGAUGCGGCGCAGCUAGAGGUGGCAAAGCUGCGGCUGCAGCAGGUGUUGGCGGCUGUAAUGGCGGAGCAGCUGCGGCGCGAGGGCCAGUCGGAGGGAGAGUACCCAACGUAGAGCGAACACGAAGCCCCUCUGCAUGCCUUCGCUCUCGCAUUGUGUGUCUGUAUGCUGGUGUUCACCACCACCACCCCCCUCCCCUCCCCUCCUCCUUUCAGCUCAUCCUGCUGCCACCCGCCUGCACGGAUGUGCACGUAAGCGACGGUGGCGUGUCCGACAAGGAGCGUGUAUACCCUGGACGUGUAUGCGUAUCUGCAUGUGUGCCGUCUUCUCACGGAUCCUCACCGCUUUACGGAGCGCGCGUAACGUGUGCUCUGCUCGCUUUUCUUCCCGCAUCUGUUCAGCAGCCACAAGCGGAGACGAAGACCGUCUCGGCAAGGCAGAGAUGCGCUCAGUUUGCUUCACAGUGUCAGCCGCCAACCCCCCCCCAGCCUGCUUUCCUUCCCCCCCACCCCACUCCCACACACACCUGGUGCGUCGCUCAAUGCCUCCACGGAAAGACGGCUCUGUCUGUGGCGGCUCUGUGACAGCAAGAGCAGCGACAGCGGCGGAGGGGGACAGCCCUGUCGCGCCCACGAGUUGCGAUGACUGCUACUUGGUGAAUAAGAGAGAGGGGAAGGGACGGAUGCAUGCAAAGCGGCCAAGCAUGCAGGAGCAUCUAUCCUGCGCAGCUGCGGCCCGAUGUUUACCCCCGUGCCUGAUCUGGAUGUGCCUACCCAUGCAGGAGGGGGGGGGCGCCAGCACCGGCACAUACGCGCGUGAAGUGAAGAUGGCCAUGACCAUUCUUGUGAGGGAGCACCUCUACAUGCCUGUCGCUCUUUCUGCUUCAUCUACUCUCUCUCUCUUUCUGUGGAUUCACGUCGCGGGCGGCACACAUCACCCACGGGGCGGGGCUCUUUCCUUGUCUGCUAUUGGUUGCUGUUUUUUUUUGGGGGGGUGUCGGUGCCUGCGUCUCGCUACGAAUGAGAGUGCAUCGCCGCCGUAGCGCAGCAGUAACAGCAGGGCCGCAGGCGUGAGCUGAAGUCGCCUUCAGCGCCUUUCUUCGCAGCUUCUCGUUUCUUUCAUUGUGUCACUGGUAAUCUGUUGCUGCUUCCCCGCCACCACCACCACCACCAUCACCCCUCUUGCCUCCAUCCCGUCCUUACACACACACACACACCAG
rnacentral:misc_RNA from 1 species